UAGCUCAGUUCGUAGAGCGCUCCACUGGAAAUGGAGAGGUCCCGGGUUCGAUACCCGC
rnacentral:tRNA from 1 species